rnacentral:tRNA from 1 species
AUCUUUCUAGUAUAAAAAGUACACUUGACUUCCAAUCAAAAGGUUUAAAUAAAUUUAAGAUAGAUA